ensembl:misc_RNA 7SK 7SK RNA
GAAUGUGAGGGUGAUCUGGCUGUGACAGCUGUCACCUCAUUGAGCACCAGGGUUGAUUCGACUGAUCUGCCUGGCUAGGUCGUGUCUCUUUCCUCUCUCACAGCUCCAUGUGUGUCCUUCCCAAAGCUGGAUGGAAGAGAAUGGCCUUCCCCGAACAGAGACAGGACAGUCUUCAGUUGAGGGUAAAUGAGUAGUUGUACUCCCUUACUAAAACCUCCAAACAAGCUUUCAAGGCCCCUUUGUAGGAGAACAUAGGGUAGUCAAGGCUUCCAAGACUCCAGGCAUAUCCGUAUAAAGUGCUGCCUAUGGCAGUCUGCCUUAAAAA